rnacentral:rRNA from 1 species
UUGUCCCUACGGGAGGCAGCAGUGGGGAAUAUUGCACAAUGGGGGAAACCCUGAUGCAGCGACGCCGCGUGAGUGAAGAAGUAUCUCGGUACGUAAAGCUCUAUCAGCAGGGAAGAAAAUGACGGUACCUGACUAAGAAGCCCCGGCUAACUACGUGCCAGCAGCCGCGGUAAUACGUAGGGGGCAAGCGUUAUCCGGAUUUACUGGGUGUAAAGGGAGCAUAGACGGCAGCGCAAGUCUGGAGUGAAAUGCCGGGGCCCAACCCCGGACCUGCUUUGGAAACUGUGCAGCUCGAGUGCAGGAGG